AGAACGAACGCUGGCGGCAUGCCUAAUACAUGCAAGUCGAACGAACACUUCGGUGUUAGUGGCGGACGGGUGAGUAAUGCCUAGGAAUCUGCCUGGUAGUGGGGGAUAACGCUCGGAAACGGACGCUAAUACCGCAUACGUCCUACGGGAGAAAGCAGGGGACCUUCGGGCCUUGCGCUAUCAGAUGAGCCUAGGUCGGAUUAGCUAGUUGGUGAGGUAAUGGCUCACCAAGGCGACGAUCCGUAACUGGUCUGAGAGGAUGAUCAGUCACACUGGAACUGAGACACGGUCCAGACUCCUACGGGAGGCAGCAGUGGGAAUAUUGGACAAUGGGCGAAAGCCUGAUCCAGCCAUGCCGCGUGUGUGAAGAAGGUCUUCGGAUUGUAAAGCACUUUAAGUUGGAGGAAGGCAGUUACCUAAUACGUAUCUGUUUUUGACGUUACCGACAGAAUAAGCACCGGCUAACUCUGUGCCAGCAGCCGCGUAA
rnacentral:rRNA from 1 species